GUCUGAUGUGAAAGCCCACGGCUCAACCGUGGAGGGUCAUUGGAAACUGGGGAACUUGAAGACAGAAGAGGAGAGCGGAAUUCCACGUGUAGCGGUGAAAUGCGUAGAGAUGUGGAGGAACACCAGUGGCGAAGGCGGCUCUCUGGUCUGUGCUUGACGCUGAGGCGCGAAAGCGUGGGGAGCGAACAGGAUUAGAUACCCUGGUAGUCCACGCCGUAAACGAUGAGUGCUAGGUGUUAGGGGUUUCCACCCUUAGUGCUGCAGUUAACGCAAUAAGCACUCCGCCUGGGGAGUACGGCCGCAAGGCUGAAACUCAAAGGAAUUGACGGGGGCCCGCACAAGCGGUGGAGCAUGUGGUUUAAUUCGAAGCAACGCGAAGAACCUUACCAGGUCUUGACAUCCUCGGACCACCCUAGAGAUAGGGUCUUCCCUUCGGGGACCGAGUGACAGGUGGUGCAUGGUUGUCGUCAGCUCGUGUCGUGAGAUGUUGGGUUAAGUCCCGCAACGAGCGCAACCCUUGACCUUAGUUGCCAGCAUUUAGUUGGGCACUCUAAGGUGACUGCCGGUGACAAACCGGAGGAAGGUGGGGAUGACGUCAAAUCAUCAUGCCCCUUAUGACCUGGGCAACACACGUGCUACAAUGGAUGGUACAAAGGGCCG
rnacentral:rRNA from 1 species